GCCUGGCGUGGUGGUGCACGCCUGUAAUCUCAGCUGCUUAAGAGGCUGAGGCAGGAGAAUUGAGAAUUUAAAGCCAGCCUUGGCAAAAGGGAGGUGCUAAGCAACUCAAUGAGACCAUGUCUCUA
rnacentral:sRNA from 1 species